GGGAUAUUGCACAAUGGGGGGAACCCUGAUGCAGCGACGCCGCGUGGGUGAAGGAGCGUUUCGGCGCGUAAAGCCCUAUCGGCAGGGAAGAAGAUGACGGUACCUGACCAAGAAGCCCCGGCUAACUACGUGCCAGCAGCCGCGGUAAUACGUAGGGGGCAAGCGUUAUCCGGAUUUACUGGGUGUAAAGGGGGCGCAGACAGCAAUGCAAGCCAGGAGUGAAAGCCCGGGGCCCAACCCCGGGACUGCUCUUGGAACUGCAUGGUUGGAGUACAGGAGGGGCAGGCGGAAUUCCUAGUGUAGCGGUGAAAUGCGUAGAUAUUAGGAGGAACACCGGUGGCGAAGGCGGCCUGCUGGACUGUGACUGACGUUGAGGCCCGAAGGCGUGGGGAGCAAACA
rnacentral:rRNA from 1 species